UACGUAGGGUGCGAGCGUUGUCCGGAAUUACUGGGCGUAAAGAGCUCGUAGGUGGUUUGUCGCGUUGUCCGUGAAAACUCACAGCUUAACUGUGGGCGUGCGGGCGAUACGGGCAGACUGGAGUACUGCAGGGGAGACUGGAAUUCCUGGUGUAGCGGUGGAAUGCGCAGAUAUCAGGAGGAACACCGGUGGCGAAGGCGGGUCUCUGGGCAGUAACUGACGCUGAGGAGCGAAAGCGUGGGGAGCGAACAG
rnacentral:rRNA from 1 species